GGGCACUUAGCUCAGCGGCUGGAGCACCUCGCUUACACCGAGGGGGUCGGGGGUUCGAAUCCCUCAGUGCCCA
rnacentral:tRNA from 1 species